rnacentral:rRNA from 1 species
UUGGAGGGCAAGUCUGGUGCCAGCACCCGCGGUAAUUCCGGCUCUAGUAGCGUAUAUUAAAGUUGUUGCAGUUAAAAAGCUCGUAGUCUGACUUCGGGCUGGGCUGUGAAGGCUCACCGCAAGGUGGGACGGAUAGCCUGGCCUUACCCUCUGAUGUGCUCUCUGCUCUUAACUGAGUGGACCUGUCGCACAGAGGCGUUUACCUUGAGCAAAUUGAGGUGUUCAAGGCAGGCAUAAUCGCUCGUACACGUUAGCAUGGGAUAAUGAAAUAGGGCCUUGGGUUCGCUGUUGCCGGUUGGUGAGCCCGGGCAAUGAUCAACAGGGGCGGUCGGGGUGCUUCAUAUGCAGGCGCUAGAGGUGAAAUUCUUGGACCGUCUGCAGAUGCCCAGAUGCGAAAGCGUUGCACCAGUACGUCCCCAUUGAUCAAGAACGAAAGUUAAGGGAGCGAAGACGAUCAAAUACCGUCGUAGUCUUAGCCCUAAACGAUACCGACCAGGGAUCGAGGAUAGUCCCAUGGUUGACUCCUUCGGCGCCUUACGGGAAAC